GAAGUGAGGAGGAUCUUGUGAGGGACCCAACCCUCAACCUGAGAAGUCUGUGCUCAAAGUCUGAAUAAAGUCAGAAUUGUAUUGAAGUGUUUAAGAUAAAUAAGGAGCAGAAAAAAGGCAAAAUUGUGUUUGGAAAACAUCAAGAGGGAAGACCACAUUUGGGGGACUACAGGAACCAAAAUACGGAGUUUGAAUGUUUUUCCUAAGCACAAUGGAACCUGUGGAAGAUUUUUAGCAGUAUUCGCAAAAAAGCUCUUACAAUAUUCCAUUCUGUGAGAAGUUUCGACCAAAAAGUGAGUGUAACUCUGAUAACACUUAUUUAUAGAGCAGUUGGCUUUGAUGAACAAUGAACUGUUACUUGAUUUUACUCUUGGUUCAAGGACAUCCACAAGUGCUGUCAAAUUGAAAGCACACAAGUCACCUUCCUAAAGAGGUAAGUGGUUUUCCUUCCUCUCUCUCCUGGACAGAGGUCAAUUUCUGUUCAGAUUGGUUUGUUUAUUCCAUGAGAAUAUGGUAUUUAAAACACAUAAUUAAAAUGUACAGUUUGAAAAGUUUGGACAUAUGUAUACACUUGUUUAACCAUCACCAGUCAUUAUAAUGAGCACAUCCUUUAUCCUCAGAAGUUUUCUCAUGCCGUUUGCAAUGGAUUCCUUUCCUCCUGUCUCUACACUCCAGCCCCAGGCAACCAACGAUCUGCUUUGUCACUGUGGAUUAGUUUGUUUGAUUUAGCAUUUUAUAUCAAAGAAAUCAUAGAGUCUGUAUCUUUUUUUGUCUUGCUUCUUUCACUCAGCAUAAUUAUUUUGAGAUUUAUUGUGUUGUAGCAUGAAUAAGUAGUUAAUUUAUAUCUACUGGUGUGAAGUAUUCUAUUGCAUGGAAACAACACAAUUUAUGUAUCUAUUCACACAUUGAUGUACUUGGCAAGUAAAGUUGCUAUGUGGUGUUAUAAUUUGCAUUUUCCUAGUGAAUAAUGAUGUUCAGCAUCUUUUCAUAGAUUAGUUGGUCAUCCAGCUACUUUGGGGAAGUAUCUGCUCAAAUAUUUUGAUUAUUUUAAAAAAUUGGAUUGUUUGAUUUUUAGUAAGUUUCAGUAAACAUUUGAGUUUUUAGAAUUGUUUAUGCAUUUGGUAUACAGGCCCUUUGUGAGAUAUGUGAUGUGCAAAUAUUUUCUCCCAGUCUGUGGCUUGUCUUUUCAUUCUCUUUCAAUGACUUUCAAAGUGUUAUUUUUAAUUGUAAUGAAGUCCAACUCAUUAAUUUUUUUGUUAUGGUUUGUGUUUUCAUUGACAUAUCAAUAAAAUCUUUGCCUAAUUUCAUGCCAUAAAGAUAUUUUUCCUGUAUUUUCUCCCUGAAGAUAUAUAGUAUUUUGUUUUACAUUUAGGUCUAUUACUCAUGUUGAUCCAAUUUGAGUUAAUUUCUGUAUAUGGUAUGAGGUAUUAAGAGAGUUCAUUUUUUACAUGAAUAUUCAAUAACUAUAGCACUAUUCAUUCAAAAGAUUAUCCUGUGUGCACUGAAUUGCUUUAUAAAAACUCAGUUGUUCAUAUAUUUAUAUGUCUGUUUCUAGACUCUUAGUUGUUUCAUUUAUCUGUCUGUCUUUACACAAGUGCCACACUCUAUGAUUAAUGUAGUUUUAUAAUAAGCCUUGAACCUAGGUAGCAUUAUUCCUGUAACUUUAUUUUUCAAAGUUGUUAUGACUCUUUAUAUAAGCUUUAUAAAUGGCUUUUUGAAUUUCCAUAUGAAUUUUGAAAGUGGUCUGUCAUUUCUAUUAAAAAGAAGACAAAAACCCCUGGGAAUUUUAUUAAGAUUGCAUUAAAUCUAUAGGUCAAUUUAAGAAGAAUUGACAUUUUAAAACUAUUAAGAUUUCUAAUUCAUGCACAUAGUAUCUCUUUGCUUAUCUAAGACAUAAUUUUUUCAACGUUUUGUAGUUUUCAGUGUAUUAGUCCUUUACAUGUUUCCAGAAAUUUUUCCUGUUUCACUUAUUUCUAGUUUCUAAAGGUAGAAGUUGAGAUAAUUGAUUUCAGAUCUUAUUUCUUUUCUAAUGCAGAUCUUUCACACUAUAAAUUACUGAUUUAGUGGCAUGCAUAAAUUUCAGUAUGCUGCAUUUUUAUUUUUAUUUAAAAAUUAUUUGUAAUUUAUUUUUUAUUCUUCCUUUGACUCCCUCACCGUUCAGUUUUUAGAAGUACUUUAGCUAGUUCUCUCUCUCUCAAUUUUAUUUAAUUUCAUUGUGAUCAAAAAAUAUACUUUGAAUAACAAAUUUUUUUAAGUUUAUAAAGAUUUAUUUUCUGGUUAAGAAUAUAGUCUAUUUUGGUGACUAAUUCAUGAGCCCCUGAAAAUAAGGCAUAUUUUCAGUUUUAAAUAAAGUGCUAAAUGCCAGUUAUGUCAAUUUGGUCUCCUAAAUGCCAAUUAUGUCAAUUUGGUUUAUGAUAUUGUUUGGCUGUUCUCUCAUGUAUCUUUAUUGACUCUCUAUCUACUUAUCAAUUAUUGACACAGGAGUAUUUAAAUUGCCAACUAUAAUUAUGGAUUUAUCAAUUUCUCCUUCCAGUUCUAUCAGUUUAUACUUUAUGUAUUUUGAAAUUUUGUUGAAUUCUAGGUGGUAAAGCCCAUUAUCACUCAAAUUACGAUCAAAUGACCCAGUUUCUUGGGAAUGCUAACAUUCUUGAAUUUACAUUUUCUAUUGCUAUGCCUCCAAAUUAAUCGCCCCAUAUAAAGAGAUGCUUAGGCUGAGAGUAUGCCCAGGAUGGAAAGAGGAGACAAACACACGAAGUACCCAAUAGCAUUGUCUUCAAAGGACAGGCUCUGAUAGCCGCUGGAGGUGGCAUUGAAGAUUUAAUUUGGAAAGAUGUCAAGAAAACAAAGGAUUUCUCUCUGACCUCCUUUCCCCAAUGGAAAAGAUGAUAUCACUUCGAAGUUUCUUCUAAAACAAAGAAUAACUUUUCAAAAGUUUCCUUUGAAAUUGGAGUCAGUAAAGCUGAACAAAAAUAUCAUAAACACACCUAAUCUUUGUCCACUUCCCAAGCCUGUCCCAAUUUCUGAUGAAUGCUACACUCAGAACCAUUUCUCAUAUAAAGAGAACAUUUGCUAUUUAUUGGAAAAAGUUCCAUUUUUUUGACAAUGUACUGUAAUUCCUUGGGAGUAGGCUCCUAAAUUGUCAAUCUUGGCAUAUGAAAAAUUCAAACGAAUUAACAAUAAAAUUGUUAUAUUAGUCUGUUCUCACACUGCUGUGAAGAAACAUCAGAGACUGGGUAACUUAGAAAGGAAAGAGGUUUACAUGACUCACAGUUCUGCGUUGCUGGGGAGGCCUCAGAAACUUACAAUAAUGGCAGAAGGCAAAACAGAAGCAGGCACCUUACUCACAGUGCAGCAGGAUGGAAUAAGUGCAAGCAAGGGAUACGCUGGAUGCUUAUAAAACCAUCAGAUCUCCUGAGAACUCACUCACUAUCAUGAGAACAGCAUGGGGGAACCGCCACCAUCAUCCAAUUACCUCCACCUGUUCCCGCCCUUGACACAUGGAGAUUAUGGGGAUUACAAAUCAAGGGUAAGCCAUGGCGUUUCAUCAAUUAACAAUAAAGGAAGAAAGCAGGCCUAAAGCCUAUGAUGGAAAAAGAAAAUGGCAGAAGAGAUUGUGAACUUAAGUAAAGUAUUGUAGGUUCAGGAGUACAUGUGCAGAAUGUGCAGUGUUGUUACAUAGAUAAAUGUGUGUCAUGAUGGUUUGCUGCACGGAUCAUCUCAUCACCCAGCUCACAGCAGCCUUGAUCUCCUGGGCUCAAAUGAUCCUCCUGCCUCAGCCUCCCAAGUAGCUGAGAUCACAGGUAUUCUCUGAGUGUGAAACCUGAAAUUACAAUCAUUAUGAGACAACGGUGUCUCUACUAUAAAAACCAUUGUUUUUUCCUUCACGUGCAUGUACUUAAAGAUUUCAAAGGAGAAAGUGAAUAAUUGAGAAGAAUCUUCAAUAAGGCAGUAAUCUCCCAUGUAAGUACAGAAAGGUCGUCAGAAGGAUUUUUAUUGGUUUUAGAUGAGUGGAUUGUCAAUCCUAGCAAAAGAGGGACAUAAGUUAAAUGAAAGCAAAAAAUUGCUGAUAUAUGGUUUGGAGGAGAUUUAUUAGUCUUAUUUGAACAAUAAGGCAUAGGAGAAGAAAUGUGAAAAAGGCAACCAAAUCAGUAGAACCCAUUUCUAAGCCCCCUGCCUGCCAAACAAUCCUUAAAAAUCCUAGUCUCCAAAUUCCUGGGGAGGCAGGUUUUAGAGACAUCUCCCUUCCUCCUUGCUAGAUGGCCUUGGGAUUAUUCAACUUUUUCUCUGCUGUAACACCUGUUUUGUCAGUGUACUGACUUUUUCUGUGGGGCAGGCAAGAAGAACCCACAGGGUUGUAACAGACUAUCAGUCCAUCAUAUAAACACAAAACUAUUGGAAUGGUUUCCAUAACUGAGGGAUUAUUUUUUCACUCCUUCCUUUUCUUGAGGAACUACCACAUGUCAAGGAUACAAAAAUAAGAGCCCAUGAUGACAUUUGGAAGGGAUUAUAAGUAUAAAAGGCAUUACUUGCAUACUGCAUUUCCACAUGAACUCUGUCUGAUUUUAAUACAUACACAUGAAAAUUAAAAAUUAUUACUAUUUGCAAAUGAUGCUUUAAAAAUGUUCUCUACUAUGCAUUGUGUUCAUCAAAGCCUGAAAAUAUAUACCUUUGAACUUGCCUUAGACCUUCUUAAAAGUUUCAAAAUGUUUCUAAAUUAUAUUUUCUAAGUUUGCAAAUGUAACUCAUGGAGUGAUAUUGGAUUUCAAUUCACUUCCAUAACCCAAGCACUGCCUUGAUAUCUUUAGACCUUUCCAGGAGAAUGGAAUUCUAUUAGCAAAUGCAUAACAAUAUAGGACAGCAGUAAUUAGCUGCCCUUUCUAUUUCUCUCUUUACAUAAGAUGGAAAAUUUUAAUUUAUAAUUCAAUAAUUAGUUUUACAUUCUUUUGGCACAUCCUUGAAAAGUUGAGUUUAUUGAAUAAAAAAGCAUUAUGUACUGGUGAUUUCCAUGAUUAAAAGCUUUCGUGAUUACAUUAUAAUGUCUUUCUUAUGUAAGACCAUAUAGAAAAAGAAAAGAAAACGUUGCUACAAGUCUCUUUUUUUUUGUAAUAUUACAGCAACAUAAAAUAGCAGCAAAUUUUGAGGCUUUUUAGAAAAGAAAUUACCUAUUAUUAAAUUUCAAAUUAAAACCUAUCCCACUGAGUGAUGUGACUGCUAUAAAUUUUGCUUAAAAAGAGAUUGUCUUAUUAAAUUUAACAUCAAUUCCUGUUGCAGUUGACUUAAAUGUUUAAAAUUUUAGGCUGGAUGCAGUGGUUCACGCCUGUAAUCCCAGCACUUUGUAAGGCCAAGGUGGGUGGAUCACAGGAGGUCAGGAGUUCGAGACCAACCUGACCAACAUGGUGAAACCCCGUCUCUACUAAAAAUACAAAAAUUAGCUGGGCAUGGUGGCAUGCACCUGUAUUCCCAGCUACUCCGGAGCCUGAGGCAGGAGAAUCACUGGAACCUGGGAGGCAGAGGUUGCAGUGAGCCAAUAUCGUGCCACUGCACUCCAGCCUGGGCGACAGAGUGAGACUCUGUCUCAAAUAAAUAAAAAAUUAAAUUAAAAAAAAACAGUAAGUUUUAACUAAAUAUUCAAAGACUUGAGGUAAAUUAUAAAUUACCUCUAUAUCUUCUUAGUAUUUGUAAGUUGACGGUCACAAAUACAUUUUUACAAGUGUUAACUGAAACAUAUAUUUUCCAGACAUAAUGGAUUUGGGGAGGUUAUUGGUCUGCAUUAAUUUUAGAUGUCUGACAAUCUUAGUUUACGUUAACAAUAUUUAUGCUUCAACUAACACUGAAAAUCUGUCUGUAUUUUACCCAUUUAAAGAUUGUUCAAAUUGAAAAUUUUACAUUUAUAAUAAUAUUUCAGAACUCUAUAUAUUCUAAAGAAUUAUUUUGUAUUACACAUGGAGUAGUAGUAUUUAAUGUUUACAUUAAGGAUAUAUAUACAUAGAAAGAGUUAAAUCAUUUUAUUUAAUAAUUUGUCAAAAUCUUAGUGAACUGUCAAACCUGUGAGAAGAAAACUGGCUAGUCUAUUGUCAAUUUGAAUAACGAGUGUUUACGUUUUAUUGUUCAUAUUAUUGAUCAUAUUUGAGGAUGACAUUGUUAAUGAUCAUUGUCUUGUGUGCAUCAAUCAUAGAAAAAUACUGCUAAUGAUCUCUGCACCCUGCAGCACCCCAGCGGGUGAUUCACCAGCAAAUGCCUGUAGGCUACUGGGAACCUCAUGUCUGUUUUCUGCUGUCAGCUCACACAUCUGUCUGCCACUGCCAUAGGAGAAAAGAAUGGCUUUUCCCUUCCUGCCUUCCAAAGCUUGUACGAGUAUCUAUCCUUGACAGCAUUUCAACUGGAAAUAGCUGGCAGGGUAUUCUGGCAAAUAUUAUUUGCACAUUUUUCCAGGGUAAGUAAGGGAAAAUGCAGAAAGGGCAGGAAUGCCGCUGAAAUGACAAGAAAGAAUCUGCAUACCGCUUGUGACAGGAUGGAAGAAAAGACAGAAAGAGGCGUUUGGCUUUUAUCCCUAAUGAUCAUAUUUAGGGAAGAAGGGAAAUAUUUAAAUGCUAAGUUAUGAAAUUGCACAAACAUAUGAUCUGAGGGGUUGCUGAAAACAUGGAAUCUAUGCACAGUGAACUGAAGCGUCUUUCCCUAGGUUGAACCUACAACAGCGUGAUUGAAAAUGUGCUGUGAGACAGCUGGCCUGCAGCAAAGCCUCCUGCUCCCUAGAUCAUUCCCCUGCUGCAUGUCUACACGUAUCAGUUUAUUUAGCAUUAUUUUCUUCUUGAAGACAAGUUGUGACUAGCAUUAAAACAACAUGGAUUUUUAAAAAAGGAAGGAAUGAGUGAAGGGAGAGAAAGAAAAAGAGACAGAAAGGGAGAGGGAUAAAAAUAACAAUUUUUGAAUGCCAGAUUAUACAUCAAAAUAAUUAUGUAAAAAAGCAGAAGUAUCCAUAGAUAUAAUUUAAAAGAAAAUAAAUAUCACGUGGUGCUUUACUGCAUAGGAUCUGAACUUAGUUGUUCCCGUGACCUUGACUCCAGAAGGAUUCAAAAAGGCAUGUCAGUGAAAGAUUCCUUGAAUAUAAGCAGCUGUGGCCUCAUCCUAAACGUGUGGCACCACUACUGAGGGCAGCAACAUCUUUGCCUAGAUCUUGUUUAGCAUGGUGUUGAAUUGUGUAGAAGUAAAUUAGUUUCCCUUGGUUCUUUCUCAUUUUCAAAACUAAGUUGUUCAAUUUUCCUCUUGAUUCUGAAUCAUGUUCUUUGUUUCCCGGUAAAUUCAUUUUCUAAUUAUGUUAAAUAGAAUAAGUUUCUUGCUGAUGUAAAAAUUGAGGCCCUAUAGUGCAUUUCAGACAAGAGAUUCUGAGGGACACUGUUAAUUUGAAAUGAGCUACAGAACAUUUGGAGUUGAUGGAAGUGAAAAUUCAGCGGUAUAAAGAGUAAGAAAUAUGGUAAAUUAUGGUAUGCAAUUGUUGGGGUCCAGAAACAAUAUCCCAAAAUACAGCGUUUUUACAUAUUGAACUAAAGAAGCAGCCUCAAGAUCUCUCUGAUCUUCCCCCACCUUCCUGUCAUUCAAUCUUCUGGUCCUCCCAAGGCACAGGAUAAAGCCAUUCUCUGAAGUUAUUUUAUCUGUCGAGAUCCUUGACUUCCAAAGAGGAACAAAAUUGCUUUCCAUCCCCUGCCUAAAGUCUUAUUAUCUAUCAUAGAAGACUGAGGAAUGCAACCACAUCUGGAUGCACUAUUUCACAAGAUAGUAUCUGCCUCUCAGUUUCAUUCCAAUUUUAAAGAGAAUCAUUUACAAGUUAAUGUUUAUGUCUACUGCAACCAUUCAUUUCCACUGAAAGUUUUCUAUUCCUAUGCACCCCACUUUCCUCUAACCAAUAAAGAGGGUAUUUCGCACCAACCAUCUGGUUCUUCUCUUCAGUUUUUAUAAUUUGUAUGACUCCCAUGCACACUUGUGUAUGUACUAAAUUUGUUAUACUUUUCUCUUAUUAACCUGUCUUUUGUUACAUGGAUGUUGGCCAUAACACUUUAUGGUGGGGAUAAAAGGGAUUACCUCAUUUCUACUUUACACAUUGGUGAUACAGCUUAUUACAUUAUUAUCCAUUAAUCUCUGGAAGGAAAACCUCUUUGAAAGAAAGGUCUUUAGGAAAUUGAAAACCUUUAAUACUUGUUGAAUUUGCAAAAAGACAGUGAAGGACUCCGCUUAUAUUGCUACACAAGGAAAAAUAAAUAUUCAAUGGAGAAGUAGCUUGAAACAGGAGAGGAGUAGAGUCACCAAUUUUGAGAAGUAAAGUCUAUUUCCACACUCCAUACCUGCGGGAUCUUCUGAAGAAAUACUCACCUCAAUAGCGUGCAGUAAGGCAGACUAUAUCUUAAGGAGUUUCCAAAAGAAGAUUUUUUUCGCUCAAAUUACAGGUAGUUCUCUAUAAAUAGGUUAUAAAAUCAGUUUGGUUAGUUCCAAUAAGAAUUUUUAGUGAAAUAAAUAGUAAAAUAAAACAGCAGUAAAAAUAUGAAUAGUAAAAGUAGGAAAUGUAUUAUGUAUAUAAUGUAGAGACUUGUAGAAGUAUUUUGUGUUUGUCUGUAUUGGGUCAUGAUGAAAAAUGUGUUUCUAAUGGUGGAACUGGUCAAAAAUUUAAAAAUUACUAGCUUAACAAAGCAGAAAGGAAUAGAGGUAAGAUGGAGUCAUGAGACUUUUAACAUUGCUGUCAAAACAUCUAAGAGCAUUGUUUAUUUCUUAUUCAAUUAUUUUACUAUAUUUUUCUUUAUCCACAGAUAUCACACAGAUAAGAAGCUGGACUAUCUCAUAUUAUGUUGCCCUAGAACAGGAGAAAUUCAAACUAAGGCAACAUUAUUCAAGGGAAGGCAACCCAUAAACCUCUGACAUAGAAUUUGCUCUUCAAGAGAGAUCAUGUACUCCAAGCAGCCAAAAAAUAUUAUCUAUGAAAGAGAGUUAGAAAAUAAAUAGAAAUUCUUAGCAAACAGAAAACUCAUGUACAUACAAUUGCAUGAUACAUGUGUUAAUUUUAAACCUUCAUUGGAAAAUUUGAAACAUUCUAUAUAAAGUUUUUAUUAAUAAAUUAUGAGAAAAUAUCUCCACUAAAGGUUAUUCACUUAGUCCAAUUAUUUCCAAUUUUACUGGAAUUGCACACAUGCUCACCUGAGGUGCUUUUCCCUUACCAGUCUGAAUGUUCCAAGGAGGUCAUGUCAACAGUUAAAGACUGCCAUUUUGCCUCUUAGUGCGCAUGUGUGAGCCCUCUCAUCCGACUCCUGAGAUCUUAUCAGGAAGCUGCUGAUCACCAGCUUCAGGUGUUUCUAUUUAUUGGGAGACUGUCUUUCCCUGGCACCAGCUGCAACCAAUGAUUACUUUAGAGAGACAGUUUAACAACUGCCUGACCAUCACCUGAUGGUCAUCUGACAUUCCCAGGACUCCAGAUAAGAGCCCAGGCCAAAGGACACCUUGAUUUUGACCUUGUCAGACCUGGAGUUGAAAAACCAGCUGCACCCUUCUAGAAUUCUUACUUACAAAACUGGAGAUGUUACAAGACAAGAUGAUUUCACUGGAAGCUGAGUUUUGCCAGCUUUGGGGAAAUGCUGAUGCAGAACAUCAUUUAUUUAAGGCUGAUACUCAUGGAUAGAAGAGUCAAAGUGCGAAUAUAUGCACCCUUCUAUACGGAUUCUGCAGAAAGAUAUGCUUGGGUCAUGACUCAGGUGAAUUUCCUAUGAAACUUUGUCUUUGGUAAAGCAUCCCAUUCUUGGCUGUUCCAUAUAUAUAUAUAUGGUAAGUUUGGGAGUGGCCUUGCUAGUAAAGAAUAAAUUAUUUACUUGGUUCUAGCUAUUUACAAAGUUGCUGGUGACUAAUUGCUGGAAAGAAGCUGGGACGUUCUGUGGCCCCUCCAUUUUAUAUCCCCUCCCUUUGGUUCUCUAGGAAAUUGAGUUCAGGAAAGCUACCAGGAAUAAAACUCUUACUUUUUAUGCAUGUGUAUUUUUUUUCCAGACAAUUUGGAGAGAAUUCCCUGAAACAUUCACUGUACAACUCUACUUUCUUGAAUACUUACUAUAAUUAAAGUUCAUUUCUGAUUUACAUAAAGACCAAUGAGCAUGCUAGAGAAUUUCUGCUUCAGGUAGUUAUUCAAGAAAACAGUACUAUGGAAGCUUUACCAUCUUCACUUUGUGGAUUUCAUAUCUAUUUCUACCUGGAAAAGAAGAGAAAGAUAGAGUACAAAAUUGCAAAAGGGGUUUUUAUAGGCAAUGACUUCAAGUGUAGCAUAUUACUUCUACCUGCAUUCCAUUGUCUGGAUGUGGAAUUCACUCAUAUGUGUACAUUUAACAGCAAGAAAGAUAGAGCUAGUUCCCUUAAGAAAAGAGAGAGGUAUUCACUCAAUAGCUCGAUAAUUUCUGCCACAAUGAAAGUAAGAUAUGCAUUACAAAAUUGUUCUAUUCUCUUUUCAAAUAACUCAUUUUAAAUUGGUUGCUGAGACAUUUCCUUGGAGCAUAGUAACAGUUUCUUACUCACUCAACAUAAUUUCCAUAAUGCAAAUGAAAAAAAAACUGGU
rnacentral:lncRNA from 1 species